GGAGCGUCGUAAUCCAACUUGCACAGCCCACCGUUUUGCGUACUCUUGUGAGUGCAAGUCUCCUCUUUCUCUCUCAUCCAAGUGCAGGAAAUGCACUCCCAAGAAAGACUGGAGGUUUUGUUGUGGAAACCAGGUAACCCAUCCCUAAUUCAUCCACUAAUUUGGAUUUCGCUUCACAACUGCCACCACCACUGCCUAAUUUAAAUUAUUUAUUGCUUUAGUAAAAAAAUGAAAUAGUUACGUGGUUAGAUGAUGUGAUUAUAAACAGGGUCAAUUCCCUUAACCGCAUGCUUGUUGGAUAUUGUAAGCCAAUUUGAAAUAUUUCUCUUUUUUUCUAUUUUUAAUUUUCAAGUGAUGUAACGUUGGCGUGGCAUCAAUUUGUGCGAUCCAUAGGUGCUACGCAACCAUUCGAUCCACUGCAGUCUGCACAAUUCGAGACUGUUAGGUCUAAACUUUCUUAUAAAUUUAUGGACUAAAUAGAUCUGCAGACUUGUGAUGGGCUAGCUCAUGAAUUGAAUUUUAACGAGAUGAGUAAAAGUUUGAGGUUCGAUUUCCUUUGAUUUAAAUACUAUAUAAACAUUUCAACGCAAGGUGGCAAUUGAUCCCACUAAAAAUUUCUUUCAAUAAAUUCUAGCAUUCGAUACUUUGUCUGUAGCACUGAGAAUGAUAGAUAGCAAUGGGAUGCGGUCCACUGCUAUCGAAUGUAUUUUUCUUUCUUAUUUAUUAAUAAACUUUACUGCUAAAUUUAAGUAGUAUUGCACAACCAGAAGAUAGAGGAAUUACGAGUUUAGGUGGCGAAAAUUAUUAAUUUUAUUUUAACAGUUAUUACCAUAAAUAGAUAACAUUAUGGUUGGAGGUUGCGUGCAUAAUGCUAUAUAUCUACUAAAGUUAUAGAAAAAGUCAAUCUCGCAAUAAUUCUGAACCUGAAUUGAAGCUAACGUCCAAAAACAUACUUGAUAUACGCUUUGUAUGUAUCGUUGUUGCUUAUACGGAUCAAUGGACAAGGCAUAGCUUGAUUUUCGCCGUCUACAAAAAAUCCUGUUUUUCUGUUUGCCUCGCUCGUCUUUUUUCUU
rnacentral:lncRNA from 1 species